UCACCAAUCACUCCCCUCCAACCAAGACCUAUAGGGAGUAUAAAUUACGUCUUUCAUAUCCGAAAGUGAGGGAUUUUCGGAAAUAAGUUUUCGCA
ncrna:unclassified sequences PhotoRC-II RNA